UGUGAUUAUUGUGAUAUUCAUAUUUUUAUUAUUAUUUAUCACAAGCAUGACGUCAUAAAAUUGAAAUCGUAAGCAAUAUUAUGAGAAUGGUGCUUAUUUGCUAGCAGAACCCUAUAAGUAGAGUUACGUCACCAGGGUAUCUGCUUUGACGAUAGCUGACUUCCUAAUGUGUUUGAGUCACGGCCCAAAACAUUCAAAAUUUAAUACUAUAUUUUAGGUGAAGAACUCUACAGAGGCGAUAUAUUUUGUUAAAAUACCCUCUUGUAGUGCCGUUGAUUUCAGGAAUCGCUCUGUGGCUGAGAGGAUUACACUUUACACAGUUAAUGGGUUCUAAAAAUGAAAAGAAAUCUUUGGAAACCAUAAGAUAAUUCUUGAUUGUGUUCUAAACAUUUUGAAAAAAAUCAAUCCAUAAAGAAUUACAGCUCUCAAGACAUUAUAAAAUUUUUUAAACAUCUAAAACCUGAAGUUCCAAGGCUCAUCAAAAACUCCAACAAACCCAUCUUCCUUCCAGAGAACAAUGGUGAUGAUCAAAUUUCAGGUAAAAAAAGGUCUCCACAAUUUCAGUAUCGUAUAUACUUCAUCCUUAUUUGGAACCUCAUACUUCCGAAAAUGGAGAUAUCGACUUAGUGAACAUGAAUUUAAUUUAAUCAAUAAUUGAAGAUGAAAUUUCUUUUAAUGAUAUUUCUCGAGUGGUAAAACAUCUAGAGGAUAUUAAUACCACAAAUCCAACAUAGAGUCUAUGAAUCAGAAAUAAAGGAAUAAAAGAAGAAGUUGAAGGAGAAAGAUGUCAAAAUUCGGGACGCAAAAUCAAAGUUUAAGUCUUUAGAGAUGCGCCUCUCUUCGGUAUUUAAUUCUAACCAGAUAAAAUUUUUAUCUUCCAAGUCUUCACAUUCCAAAAUCCGCCUUCUGUCUAAUAAAACCAUCAAUAAUUCACUUCAGUUAAGAUUUGUUGCGGAACUAUAAAUCGUCCGAUAGAGAAUUAAUCUAUUGUGCCAAUAACUGUUUGGAUGAAUUUGCAAAAAUAGAGGCGUUAUUCAAAUCUUAUCAAUUAAAAAAAAUUGUAAACUCAGUAACUGAAAUAGAGGUUCCAUUAAUUAAGUCGUUUAUAAAUGUCCCCAAAUGUCAUUAAAUUUUAUAUAUCACUGUCUUUCAGUAUGUUAGGAUAAGAAUGUACAUACAUUUACGGUAUUAGGUUACUUCGUAACAAAAUAUAUUCGUUUAAGGACAUUUCGUAUAAAAAUAAUUUAUUAAUAAUCAUGUAGGUAUUGAAAAGAUAAAAAAACUUCAUUGCAUUAUUCAUCAAGAAGCGUUGUUCUGCGAAAUCACUGAAUUCUUUCUCUUAUCCAAAAUAUUUCUCAAAUUGACAGGGUUAACAUGUUGAUUUUCGGUGUUUUUUUUAACAUGCCCAUACUACACUAGAUUUUCAUCACUGCUUAUGCAUCAUUCAUACUGAUAAGGAAUAUCAUGGCUUAUAUUAUUAAAAAAAUCUUCAAUGUACAAUAUAAAAAAAGAUAAAUUAAAUAAAAAAAAAUAUGCAUCUCCAAG
rnacentral:lncRNA from 1 species